GCUGUAGCUCGGUGGCAGAGCAUCUGCUUUGCAUGCAGAAGGUCCCAGGUUCAAUCCCCAGCAUCUCCA
rnacentral:tRNA from 1 species